AUGGCCGCCUCUGCCUCUUACCUUUCUCUGGUGGUGCUCGUGGCUCUGGCCGCCGUGGUGUCGGGGCAGCUGUCGCCGACGUUCUACGACACAUCCUGCACAAGGGCCCUGGCCACCAUCAAGAGCGGCGUCAUGGCCGCCGUGAGCAGCGAUCCUCGGAUGGGCGCGUCGCUGCUCCGGCUGCACUUCCACGACUGCUUCGUCCAAGGCUGUGACGCGUCUGUUCUGCUGUCUGGCAUGGAACAAAACGCUAUCCCGAACAACGGGUCACUGCGGGGUUUCGGCGUCAUCGACAGCAUCAAGACACAGAUCGAGGCCAUCUGCGCCCAGACCGUCUCCUGCGCCGACAUCCUCACUGUCGCUGCCCGUGACUCCGUCGUCGCCGUAAGAAUAUCAUCUUACGAUCCUCGGAGGGCCAUCAUGGAAGUCCCUCUGGGAAGAAGGGAUUCCAUAGAUGCAAACGAGGCGGCGGCAAACAGCGACCUCCCAGGCCCUACAUCUAGCCGGUCAGAUCUUGAGCUGGCAUUCAGCAACAAGGGCCUCCUUACGGUCGACAUGGUGGCCCUCUCCGGCGCGCACACCAUCGGCCAGGCGCAGUGCGGGACCUUCAAGGACAGGAUCUACAACGAGACUAACAUCGACACGACCUUCGCCACAUCUCUCCGGGCCAACUGCCCCCGGUCCAACGGUGACGGCAGCCUGGCGAACCUGGACACGACCACGGCCAACACGCUCCACAACGCCUACUACACCAACCUCAUGUCACAGAAGGGGCUCCUGCACUCGGACCAGGUGCUGUUCAACAACGACACCACCGACAACACCGUCCGGAACUUCGCGUCCAACCCGGCGGCGUUCAGCAGCGCGUUCACGACGGCCAUGAUCAAGAUGGGCAACAUCGCGCCGAAGAUGGGGACGCAAGGGCAGAUCAGGCUUAGCUGCUCCAGGGUGAACUCGUGA
rnacentral:rRNA from 1 species